UACGGAAAGGGGGGAUUACCGCUUACAGUUACAACUUGUUCUUAUGCCAGUUGUUGAAGAGCAAUUCGUAAAUAUU
rnacentral:tRNA from 1 species